AUUGAACGCUGGCGGCAGGCCUAACACAUGCAAGUCGAGCGGUAGAGAGGUGCUUGCAUCUCUUGAGAGCGGCGGACGGGUGAGUAAUGCCUAGGAAUCUGCCUAGUGGUGGGGGGAUAACGUUCGGAAACGGACGCUAAUACCGCAUACGUCCUACGGGAGAAAGGCGGGGGAUCUUCGGACCUCGCGCCAUUAGAUGAGCCUAGGUCGGAUUAGCUAGUUGGUGAGGUAAUGGCUCACCAAGGCGACGAUCCGUAACUGGUCUGAGAGGAUGAUCAGUCACACUGGAACUGAGACACGGUCCAGACUCCUACGGGAGGCAGCAGGUGGGGGAAUAUUGGACAAUGGGCGAAAGACCUGAUCCAGCCAUGCCGCGUGUGUGAAG
rnacentral:rRNA from 1 species